rnacentral:rRNA from 1 species
GAUGAACGCUGGCGGCGUGCUUAACACAUGCAAGUCGAACGAACGACUAUUAACAGAACCUUUCGGGGCGAAGAAUAUAGAAGUUAGUGGCGGACGGGUGCGUAACGCGUGGGUAAUCUGCCCUUGUCAAAGGAAUAACUAUUCGAAAGAAUAGCUAAAACCGUAUAACAUAUUAAUAGGGCAUCCUAAUAAUAUCAAAACGAUAGUGGACAAAGAUGAGCCCGCGUCUGAUUAGCUAGUUGGUGAGAUAAAAGCCCACCAAGGCAACGAUCAGUAGCCGACCUGAGAGGGUGAACGGCCACAUUGGAACUGAGACACGGUCCAAACUCCUACGGGAGGCAGCAGUGGGGAAUAUUGCACAAUGGGGGGAACCCUGAUGCAGCAACGCCGCGUGAGUGAAGAAGGCAUUCGUGUCGUAAAACUCUGUAGUAGGGGAAGAAAGAAAUGACAGUACCCUAAAAGAAAGCCCCGGCUAACUACGUGCCAGCAGCCGCGGUAAUACGUAGGGGGCAAGCGUUAUCCGGAAUAACUGGGCGUAAAGGGUGCGCAGGUGGUUUAACAAGUUAGUGGUGAAAGGCAUAGGCUCAACCAAUGUAAGCCAUUAAAACUGUUUAACUUGAGUGCAGGAGAGGAAAGUGGAAUUCCUAGUGUAGCGGUGAAAUGCGUAGAUAUUAGGAGGAAUACCAGUGGCGAAGGCGACUUUCUGGACUGCAACUGACACUGAGGCACGAAAGCGUGGGGAGCAAACAGG